UUUUUGUGUUAUAUUGACACUUCACGACGUGAGCUACACCUCUCUAUUCGUCGGCAGCGUCAGAUGUGUAUAAGAGACAGGAUGUGGGGUUGCGAAGACAACCAGGAUGUUGGCUUAGAAGCAGCCACUCAUUAAAAGAGUGCGUAAUAGCUCACUGGUCGAGUGACCCUGCGCCGAAAAUUUAACGGGGCUAAACCAUGUACCGAAGCUUGGGAUUCCGUAUGCUGAACAAUGCGUACAAGGGAGGAAAGAGAGGAGAAUAUAGCGACGGCGAAAAGCCGGCGCGAAAUUCCUUUCGCUGAACAUGUACGGGAUUGUUCAGUAUACGGAGUGGUAGGAGAGCGUUGCAUAUGGGGUGAAGUCAGAGCGGAAGCGCUGGUGGACUGUAUGGAAGUGAGAAUGCCGGAAUGAGUAGCGAGAAUUAUGUGAGAAUCAUAAUGGCCGAAAAUCUAAGGUUUUUGAAGGAAGGUUCGUCCGCUUCAAGAUAGUCGGGAGCUAAGGCGAGGCCGAGAGGCGUAGUCGAUGCACAAACGGUGGAUAUUCCGUUACCGUCCAAAGAUUUAAGCAGAGGGACACUUUGAAAGGGCAUGACCCGGGCGAUGGUAGCCCCGGGCGUAAGGGACUGAACUUAUAGUAGGGAAGCAUGCUUGGACGAAGGCGAGAAAAGCUCUGUGUAUAUCGAGGAUGCCCGUACCGCAAACCGACACAGGUAGAUAGGAAGAGGAUUCUAAGGCCAACGGGAGAAGGGUAGUUAAGGAACUCGGCAAAUUGACCCCGUAACUUCGGGAAAAGGGGUGCUCCAGAGAUGGAGCCGCAGUGAAUAGGCCCAGGCAACUGUUUAGCAAAAACACAGGUCUCUGCGAAAUCGAAAGAUGAAGUAUAGGGGCUGACACCUGCCCAGUGCUGGAAGGUUAAGAGGAGGGGUGCAAGCUCCGAAUCGAAGCCCCAGUGAACGGCGGCCGUAACUAUAACGGUCCUAAGGUAGCGAAAUUCCUUGUCGGGUAAGUUCCGACCCGCACGAAUGGUGUAAUGAUCUGGGCACUGUCUCAACUACCCGCCCGGCGAAAUUGUAGUACCGGUGAAGAUGCCGGUUACCCGCAACAAGACGGAAAGACCCCAUGGAGCUUUACUGUAGCUUAAUAUUGGGUUACGAUACUUUAUGUACAGGAUAGGCGGGAGACUUGGAAGCUAGGGCGCCAGCCUUAGUGGAGUCACCCUUGGGAUACCGCUCUUAAAGUAUUGGAAUUCUAACCUGCGGCCGUGAAUCCGGCCGGGGGACAUUGUUAGGUGGGCAGUUUGACUGGGGCGGUCGCCUCCUAAAAGGUAACGGAGGCGCUCAAAGGUUCGUUCAGCACGGACGGAAAUCGUGCAGUGAGUGUAAACGCAUAAACGAGCCUAACUGCGAGACCGACGGGUCGAGCAGUAACGAAAGUUGGAGUUAGUGAUCCGGCGGUAUGUGAGUGGAAAUGCCGUCGCUCAACGGAUAAAAGCUACCCUGGGGAUAACAGGCUGAUCUCCCCCAAGCGUCCACAGCGACGGGGAGGUUUGGCACCUCGAUGUCGGCUCGUCACAUCCUGGGGCUGAAUUC
rnacentral:rRNA from 1 species